ACUCAUGAUCAUCUGACAACAUCGAGAUGCACCAAGUCCAGAAAAAAUAGAUAAAUCAGUCAUUCUUCUUAAUCAUUAACAGGAUACAAAAUAAUCACUUGCCCAAUUCACCAGCAAGAAAAGAGGGUACCCUUCAUCCCAAGAACAUCAGAGGCCGCCCUCACCAAUGUGGUGCCCUAGAGAUUUUAUCUUGCCCCCGCAAAAGAAGUUGAAUUUGUAACAUUAAAGUCAUAAAAUAACUGUUAAUGGUU